UACGUAGGGCGCAAGCGUUGUCCGGAAUUAUUGGGCGUAAAGAGCUCGUAGGCGGUUUGUCGCGUCUGUCGUGAAAGCUUGGGGCUUAACCCCAAGUCUGCGGUGGAUACGGGCAGACUAGAGUUCGGCAGGGGAGACUGGAAUUCCUGGUGUAGCGGUGAAAUGCGCAGAUAUCAGGAGGAACACCGGUGGCGAAGGCGGGUCUCUGGGCCGAUACUGACGCUGAGGAGCGAAAGCGUGGGGAGCGAACAGG
rnacentral:rRNA from 1 species